UAUAAGGGAUUUUGAGUUUUUGUUUGUAGUGUUUGACCACUCAUCUUAUUUAAAAAAUUUUAGAAUUAUUAUUUACUUUUUUGUGACUUACUUUAUUAUCCAAAGUACUUUACGCACAACUUUUCAUUUUUUAUAUUUGCAUAAAUUUUUUGAAUAAGACGAGUGGUCAAACACUACAAGCAAAAACUCAAAAUCCCUUAUA
rnacentral:pre_miRNA from 1 species